CGGCCGCCCAGGAGCCGGCCAGCUCCCCAGCCCAGGCCGGGGGCCGCGCCGCCGCCUCCCCCAGCGUCGCCCCUCGCCUGCCUGCCCGCCUUAAAUGUGACACCGGCGCCUCGGAGUGCGACCCGAAGCCGCCACCGGGGAGGGGACGAGCACCAUGUUGAAUCUAAGCAACGGCACGGGGAGCCGGAAGGACACCAAGAUGCGGAUCCGGGCCUUUCCGAAUCUUUCAUCCGCAACCUUCCAGUGUGCUUUACAACCUCCUGUGCAGGAAUGGCCUAGCCACUCAAGAGAAAACGAAUGGGACGGUUGGUUCUUCAUUUCCUAGCCAUGGAAGCCCAAAAGAAGAAGUAAUCACCACCAUUGUGAGGAGUGUCAGAACUUCUUGAUUGACAGCUGUGCUGCCCACAGGCCCCCGACCUUUGUAAAGGACUCUGCAGUGGAAAAUGUGCACGCCAAAUGCUCAGCCCUCACUCUGCCCCCUGGGUUAAGUAUCAGACCAUCAGGCAUCCCUGCGGCUGGGCUUGGAGCGUGGAGCGAAGCAUCUGAUCUGUCUUUGGGCCUGCACUUUGACCCCUAAGAGGGCCAGACGAUGAAGAGGCCACUAACGGUGGAUGCUCCUUGGCUGCUUACCAAAGGGAGAAACCACUAUGAGUAUGUGGGUGGAAAGGACACACCUUUGGUCAACUGGAUGAGGUAUGUGAACUGUGUCUGGGACGACGAGGAGCAGAACCUGAUGGCCUUGCAGUAUGGCAGAUCUUCUACCAAAUCUGCCAGGUGGUCAGCCGGGCUGUGAACUUCAGGUCUGAUAUGCAGACGAGUGUGGCAAGGAACUUGGCGUCAAGCUGGACAGCAGGGAAAAGAGCGAGCUCGUGGCUGGGAAAGAACCAAAGCCUAAGAUCUACCCUGUGUAUCCGACUCUCUGGACUUCUCAAGUCAAAAAUUCCUCUCAGAUCCUCCUGAGACCAUCUGCAAGAGACCACCUCCAACCAGAGGAUCCCUGCCCGGUCAGUCAACAUCAGCAGCUGUGAUAUUCUGAUCCACACAGCCUGAGUGAAAAACUGGAGCAACGAGAGGGCAAGAAAAGUCCCCAUCCUUCGAUGAAAGGCCGCACAUUUUGCAUAAGGCCGAAGAGGAUUUCAAUGGCCACUUCCUACUCACCCAAAAGACAAAUGGGGGGUUCUGAGGUGCAUGAGAGAACGACAUAAGAGCCCAGCACAAGCCAGAAACUGAAUGCAGAAGAAACAGGCAAAUUACUUAUGGGGGCAGGGGUAUUAGGAAUUAUAAGACUCAAGUAUGGAGAGUGAGGGUAAGUCUCCAAGGAUAGGUAAAGUCUCAUCACAACCAGAGGACUCACACAUGGGAGAAGCCCUAUGUAUGUAGAAAGUGUGGACAAAGCGUCAGUCAGAAGUCCCAUCUCAUCAGACAACAGAAGACACACACAGGGGAGGAGCCCUAUGUCUGUGGGGAGUGUGGGCAAAAGUCAGUCAGAAGCGCAUCUCAUCAGAAAACAGAAGACACACACAGGGGAGAAGUCCUAUGUUUGAGGAGAGUGGUGCGAAGUUUCAGUGAGAAGUCGGGUGUCGUCACGCAGCAGGGGACAUACACCGGGUCGAAAGCAUAUGUUUGCAGGGAGUGUGGGUGAAGCAUCAGUUAGAAGUCAGUUCUCAUUAGAGACCAGGGGACACACAGGGGAGAAGCCCUGUUUGUGGGGUGCGAGGGUGAAGCUUCAGUGUGAGGUCCAAUCUCAUCAGACUGCAGAAGACACAUACAGGGAAGAAGCCCCGUGUUUGUGGAGAGUGUGGGCGAAGACUCAGAAGUCAGGUGUCCUCACACAGUAGAGUACACACAGAGAGGGUGUGGGGGAAGCUUCAGUUGGAAGUCAGUUCUCACAGACCAGAGGACAUAGGGGAAAGCCCUGUGGGUGUGGGUGAAGCUUCAGUGUGAGAUCCAAUAUCAUCAGACUCCAGAAGACAGACACAUGGGAGAAGCCUCAUGUUUGUGGGGAGUGUGGGUAACGUUUCAGUCAGAAUGCAGGUAUCUUCAUACACCAGAGGGGACACACCAGGGAGAAACCCUAUGUUUGAAGAAAUGUGGGUGAAGCUUCAGGUAGAAGUCAGGUGUCAUCACAGACCAGAGUACACACACGAGGGAGAACCCUGUGUUUGCAGGGAGUGUGAGUGAAAUUUAAGGUAUAAAUCAGGUUUCACAGACGAGAGGACACACAGGGGAGAAGCCCUACGUUUGUAGGGAGUGUGGGUGAAGAUUCAGUUAGAAUUCAGUUCUCAGAGGCCAGAGGAAACAGGGGAGAAGCCCUGUCUGUGGGGGGUGUGGGUGACGGUUCAGUGUGAGUUCCAAACUCAUCAGACUCCAGAAGACACACGGGACAAGCCCCAUGUUUCUGGGGAGUGUAGGCAAAGGUUCAGUCAGCAGUUCCAUCUCAUCAAACAACAGACGACACACACAGAGAAGCCCUAUGUUUGUGGAGAGUGUGGGCGAAAUCUCAGAAGUUAGGAGUUCUCACACACCAGAGUACACCCGGGGGAGAAACCCUAUGUUUGCAGGGAGUGUCGGUGAAGCUUCAGUUCGAAGUAAGGUCUCAGGGACGUGAGGACACACGGGAGAAGCCCUGUUUCUGGGGCUUGUGGGUGAAGCUUCAGUGUGAGGUGCAAUCUCAUCAGAUUCCAGAAGACACACACAGGGCAGAAACCCCAUGUUUGUGGGGAAUGUGGGGAAAGUUUCAGUAAGAAGUCAGGUGUCAUCACACAGGAGCACACACAUGGGGAGAAAUCGUACGUUUGCAAAGAGGGUGGGUGAAGGUUUGGCUAGAGUUCGGUUCUCAUUAAAGACCAGAGGACACAGA